CCGGCCAAGGGAGCCGUUGGGAGGCGGUUGGGCGGGGCAACGGCCACCGCCUGCAGGCCCCGCCCCCGCCCCGGCUUGGGGGCCGAGGUCUCCGACCGAAACGCUAGGUGGGCGCCGAGUCCUUGAACUCCGGCGCUGUGGGAGGCCGUAUCAGAGCAGCCGAAGGACCUCUCCUCGGGGAGAAAAGCUUUCCCUGUUCUGAUGGAGGAAGACCUAGAUUUAAAACAGGAGAGAGGCAGCUGAUGAAAACCACAUGUGCGCCUUGGAUCUGUGCUACACCUGUUAGUCUUGCAUUUGUCAUGUUUCUGGGAAGCAUUUUUAUUUACAAAAACGGCUGUUUCCACACGUGGUUGUGGUUGCCUGCUUCUGCACAUGUGAAAACUUUUACAUCACCCUUGUAGGAGAAAAUAAAUAUGGGCAAAUAAUUUA